AUUUGGGAAUUAAUAAAUUUAUAUUUAAUAAAAAUAAUUUUAAUUUAAUAAAUAUUUUAAUGGGGGUUAAAGUAUUUUUUAAAGAAAAAAUUUUUAAUUUUAUAGUAUAAUAGUAUUGUGUAAGAAUUUUGAAAUAAUUGAAAAUUUAAUUUUAAUAAAGUAAUUUUUAUUUGAUGUAUCUUGUGUAUCAGAGUUUAUUAAAAUUUUUAAUUUUUAAAUUAAUUUCUCGAAUUUAAAAGAGUUAAAUAAUUAUUAAAUUUAUUGUUGCAAAAAUAUUUUAAAUAAUUAUUUAGAAAUGAAAUGUUAAUCGUUUUUAAAUAUAUCUAGUUUUUAUAGAAAAAAUUUUAAUUUUAAAUUUAAUUUUAUUAUUAAUUAAUUAAUUAAUUAAAUAAUUAUUUAAAUUUUAUAUUUUAAGGGAUAAGCUUUAAAUUAAAUUUUUAUAAUAAAAAAUAUUUAUUUUUGAAAAUUUUAUAAUUUAUAUUGUUAAUAAAUUUUAUUUUAUUAUAAAUAAUUUCAUUUUAUUAAAAAAUUUAAAUUUUUAUUUAAUUUUUUAUAUAAAAUUUAUUUUUAAUUACUAAAAAUUAAUUAUAAUGAUAAAAUUAGUAUAUUAUAUUUAAAAAAUUAUUUUUAAUUUGAAUUUUAUUAUUUAAUUUAAUUAAUUAAAAGGAAUUCGGCAAAUAUUUAUUUUCACUUGUUUAUCAAAAACAUGUCUUUUUGUUGAUUUAUUUAAAGUCUAAUCUGCCCACUGAUUUUAAUUGAAGGGCUGCAGUAUUUUGACUGUACAAAGGUAGCAUAAUCAUUAGUCUCUUAAUUGGUGACUUGUAUGAAAGAUUGGAUGAGAAAUAUACUGUCUCUUAAUUAAUGUGUAGAAUUUAAUUUUUUAUUUAAAAAGUUAAAAUAAAUUAAAAAGACGAGAAGACCCUAUAGAGUUUAAUAAAUUUUUUUAUGAUAAUUUUAUUUGUAUUAAAUUGAAAUAAUUUUAUAAAUUUAUUUAUUUUAUUGGGGUGAUAGAAAAAUAAAUUUAACUUUUUUUAAAGAAUUUAACAAAAAUAUAUGAUUAAAUGAUCCAGUUUAUUAUUGAUUAAAAGAUUAAAUUACCUUAGGGAUAACAGCGUAAUUUUUUUUUUUAGUUCGAAUAAUAAAAAAAGUUUGCGACCUCGAUGUUGGAUUAAGAUAAAAUUUAAAUGUAAAAGUUUAAAAUUUUGAUCUG
rnacentral:rRNA from 1 species